rnacentral:ncRNA from 1 species
GGGUGUGCCGCAGAAACCCCUGUCGCACAGGUUAUAAUAAAAAGGAUGGUCGGGCCGCCGUCC